GUUUUUUUUUUUUUUUUUUAAAUAACGGCAUCCUUUGAUGUCUCAAACAAGACUGACAGCAUGGAGGCAUGGGCUGCGUUGUUCAGAAAAUGAACAGACAGAAAAACCAAUAAAAGUGAACCCUGCUAAAAUGCUUGCUCUCUAAUAUUUCAAGUCAAGAUGUUUUCAAGUUUGCCAGAUGCAGGUAAAUCCCCUAAACAUCCAGGGCCGGUUGUUGGGUGGGGUUGGGGGGGGGAGAGGAGAGGGAGGAGGAGAGGGUGUGUGUGGUGAACUUUUGCUAAAAUGCUGUACAACAACAAUACACAUUCUAAUUAACAUUUUCAAAAGCCAUGCCACAUGAAGCUUUAGUCUUUUUAUAAAGGCCUGUAAAUUAUGUUGAUGGUUUGAUAUAAAUUGCUACAUGAAAGGUUAACCAUGGUGAUGUUUUUGAUCAGGUCUUGUAGAGAUUUGGACUGCUCUAGCAAUCAUAGAUCUCUUCCUCCACCAGCUUCAAUGCUACGAAUAAAAGUGUCACAUGUUUAGGUACAAUGUUUGUCCAAAUUGUCAACUAUGGAAAGUUCAUGAUUAUUUGACUUUUAGCGCUUGAUACUGCAAGAUUAAGGCAUUAACAUUUUCAUCCUUGCGUUACAUGUCCAAGCAUGACCAUUAUAAUAACGCAGGAAUGUUAUUCUUCAAUGUUUAUUCAACUUUACGAAUGGUUAUUUACUCUACAAGAUCUAAGUUCUAAAGAGAAGUUCUACAGUUCUGACCCAUGUUUGCCAUCUCUGACAUUAAGUUGCAAUAUGUCCCAUAUAACAGCAAUUCACUGCAUCUAAUAAUAUCUUAAGUAAAAUUGAUUUAACAAAUGGUUUAGAAGCUUCCACCUUCAUAAGAGAAAAGUUGCAAAUAUGUGAUGGGUCAAAUAUUGAUCCUCAAAAAUAAAAUCUAAGCGUAAACUACCAGUGACACAAUUAUAAAUUAGUACUGUUGCAAGAGCAUAACCUUCUCCUUCAAUUUAAAAAAAAAUCUUUCAAUUAAGUUGCAAAACACUUCUACUAUAACAUAGGAUUUGCACAAUUUGCAUGGCAUGACUAUAAAUUAUUUCAAUUGCUGUAUAAGCAAUAUUUUUGGUCUACAAGAUCAAUAACUAAAGGCUGCAAAAUUUUAGGAUUUACUGAAACAGUAUUUCGAAGGGUAGUAGUAUGCACACAGCAUUCCAAUGUAUACAUUUAAUUCCACAUAAAAAAUCCCAUAGAGCAAACAUGCAACUAUCAAAUUCAUGGCACAGUAUAUGUGAAUUCCCAAAGAGAAUGAUGAUGUCAACAACAGUAAUAACUGUAAUAUAUCACUUAAACUCGAGAAUACCAGGUUAGUUUCAAUGUUCAAAGGUUUUUUCAUUGAUGUGCCUUUUCUUUGGCAAAAAUGCCCGUCUACUACUGUGGCAAAAGGGUACUGAUCAACAUUAAUUUAUUUUCUCCAUUAGGGAUGUCAAAAAUAUGUUCUUUCCCACAAAAUUUUUCAACUAAAAAAGCAUGUAUACAGCAAUGGGUAUAGCAUGGCAGGUAAUGGUACUGGCCUCAUCUCUUAACAAGAAGCAUCAAACACCUGCUGGGGUAGGGAAGAUUGCCAUCCCUGUAAAUAUUCAUCACUUGAAAACUAAAUAAUAUAAGACACAUAAGUGUUCUCACAAGUUCUCACCGGGUCUUUUCUAAUUCCAUUUGCGUGCCUAGUAAUUUUGGUCUUCUUGAUCUAGCGUUAAAAACUCCUCAAACUUUUAGAAGUACUAAUUUUCCUUUUUCCUAUGGAAUCUGGUAGGAAACUAUAUUCCUAUUCUAAAGCAUUCAUAGAGUUUCCAUUUAUAGCACAUACCUUAUGUAUAUUACGCUGCAUGCAUCAAAUUUUUUUCACCCUUGAUUGUACUUCAUGAUUAAUGCUAAUAUUAGGACCUUUACUUUAACUAAAUCCCUUCUUCCUUAUUUGCUAAUAUAGCGCAAUGAUUUCAGGCAGGACAAACAACUAAAGGUUUGUAUUGAUGCACGAUACAUAAUUGGCAGCGAAGCAAACACCAUAACUGCACAAAAUAAGUUUUUGGCAUAUAAAAAUAAGGAUAUCGUGGACAAACUUUGUUUUCAGGGAGCACACUCAUGAGUGUUUCCUUUUGCUUUAAUGUGCAACUUUUCUGCUUCACAGUUUCCAGAUAUCGAAGCACCUCUGGCUUGGAAUAGAAUUUGUGCCCAGUAGAAAUAUCAACAUAACACUUGUAUACUUUUCCACUUGCAAAGCCACUUUGUCUGGUCUUUGACUCCACAAUCCAACCAUGAGGUAACCAUUCAGGAUGUUCAUUUGUACAUUCUACAAAAUGCAUGUGGUUAUUAUUUAUGGGCCUUCCAAUAGAACUCUUAGUUGGCUGAGGGCGGUCAUGUUGAGUGCUUCGUGCUUUAACAUGGCGUACGAAAUCAUCCUUGGAGAAGAAUUUUUUACCGGCUCCAGAGUUCACAUAAUACUACAAAGGCCAAAUAUAUUGUAAGCAUGGUAGUGGAAGUAAAAGCAGACAACUUGAUCCCAGAAUUCUGUUAUGUUAAAUUAUGUGCUCCUCCCCUUUUGCCAUAUUACUUAUUCACUGUUUUAGAUAUUUGUUCUGUCCAUAAAUCAUUGAUCCGAAUGUAAUAUGAACCAAGUUAAUUCCUGAAUCCUGACUAUUAAAAUCAAUAAAGUGACAAACUCAAAGGAAAAUAUAGCAAGAGAUAAGAAAGCCAUUCAUUGUGGUGAUUAAACUUUUAAUUACCUGUGUCUCUGACAUUAAUUCUUAAAUUGCAAUUCCCAUUGCCUUAGCAACACUUUGCUGACUAUGUUGGUUAUGCUCAUUAAAAUUCCAAAAUAAUGUCCUUGAAAACUAUCGAGACUACGUUUUAGCAUUCUGGCAGUUCAGUUGACUGUUUUCAGAUAUGCUAAUAGAUUUAAUUUGGUAAUUUCUUAAUGAAAAUCCUCUAAUACUCUACAGAUAUUGAAAACAACUUGUUGGUUAACUUCAUACAACCAAAUAGGCAAGUGUCUUCUGUUAUUUUAAUAUUAAAAAAGCUAAAAACUCAACUCAACUCAACUC
rnacentral:misc_RNA from 1 species